GUGGGGAAUAUUGGACAAUGGGGGGAACCCUGAUCCAGCCAUGCCGCGUGUGUGAAGAAGGCCUUUUGGUUGUAAAGCACUUUAAGCGAGGAGGAGGCUACCGAGAUUAAUACUCUUGGAUAGUGGACGUUACUCGCAGAAUAAGCACCGGCUAACUCUGUGCCAGCAGCCGCGGUAAUACAGAGGGUGCGAGCGUUAAUCGGAUUUACUGGGCGUAAAGCGUGCGUAGGCGGCUUUUUAAGUCGGAUGUGAAAUCCCCGAGCUUAACUUGGGAAUUGCAUUCGAUACUGGGAAGCUAGAGUAUGGGAGAGGAUGGUAGAAUUCCAGGUGUAGCGGUGAAAUGCGUAGAGAUCUGGAGGAAUACCGAUGGCGAAGGCAGCCAUCUGGCCUAAUACUGACGCUGAGGUACGAAAGCAUGGGGAGCAAACAGGAUUAGAUACCCUAGUAGUCC
rnacentral:rRNA from 1 species